CAUUUAGUAUAAUUAGUUAAUAUUUAUUUUGUAAGAGUAGGUGUUGUGCUAAAUAAUGAUCCUAGAAGCUACAUUUAUAAUAUUUACCUCAGUUAAAAAAUACUGCUGGUAACGUUGAAGCACUGGCGGGCUUCGUCAACUGUCAGUUAUAAAAGCUCUGUUAAAUACAUUUUGUUCCGGGUUUUAAUGAAUUACGUUACAGUCCUGCUUUAUUUCUUUGUCAUUUUAAAUUAAAUUGCCAAGCACAAUAAGACAGCUGUGUUGUAAGGAGACAAAAUUCGAGACAGUAAUUUCAGUGAAGCGCGUGGUCAAAGGAACCAGGUGAAAGACGGUGUAAGGGAAAUUAUACAGUAUGUAAAUGUUUGUCGCAGUUUUACACAUAUUCCGUGAGUAUUUUUCGCUUGUUCACGAGUGUUUUAUCAGGGUUGGAGCUAAACUCGGAAGGAAAGUGGAAACUGCUGGCCACAGUUGAGAACAUUCCGCCGAUAACCAUGGUUAAUAAAUGGUCAGACACGUCACUGGCUUUAAAAUAUAAACACCAUUGAUGCAAAAAAGAUGCUGCAUGGAAUGACAAUGUGGUUUGGAACAGACUUGGUGAAGAACAUGGAAACAUCUCUAAAUAAAAUGGCCCCAAACAUCAUCAGGAGUGCAAAAGAAGGAAGUAAAAAACAUCUCUACGUCAAUCUCAUUGGAGAGGAAACCACAGAAGGUCUGGUGAGGAAUGCUGCACUUAUGUUAUUGCAAGCAUUAUUUCAAGAAAAUCCCAGCUUCCUUUACUGUGUAAAUAGUGAACCCAAAGGUCCCACACCAACCAUAGUGUUCAACGGCUCUCCUGAUCUUCUCAAAUCUGAAAGUAUCAACUGUAUAAUGGACAAUGUGAACUUAAUAUGUGGAAGACAUUGACAUCACAGGCUGUGGAAUGACUGUGUCACAGGUCGGAGAAGCGGACCGCCCCUGUCGCGGAUCACCAAUGACCAGACAAACCAGAGAUAAGUAAAAUAUAAAAAUAGAAACUUUAUUUAAAUUAUUUAAAACUAAAGUGGGGAAUGGGAAAGGGAAUCUAAAAAUCUCGCUUCUCGCCCUCAGGGGGAGUAUUACGGGGCCAGGGACGUUGGAGGGGUUUCCACGUGACUCCACCUCGAACACCGCUACAGAGCGUAUCUGGCUGGGUUGGGCACACACCGUCGCGGCGGCCCUUGAUGGCAUCCACAAAGGUCCAAGACCCUCCUAAGCUCCUAGCUGUAGCAGAACUACGUAUUUCAGCACCCAAACGACUAACAACCCAGCCGGCAUCUGCAGCGUAUAUCCAACGCGAUCAAACUUCACUCUGACAAGUAACUUCCUAUACACAACCACGCUGUCCUUUCGCCCGGACCAGCCCCGCACUCUUUCCGCCCGCUACCUAGCGGUCGCCGGAUCAGCAGAGCCUGCGGACUCUUCGGAGGCUGGUCUUCGUUGUGCUGCCCAAGGCGGAAGUUUACUUCCAGUAACUUCUACCUUCUCUCUUUAUAUCCUCCUCCAUGGCGUGGCUCGCCCAACCAUCGCUCGCCACGUCACUCACACAGCUGUGCCUUGUUUCAGCGAGUGCGGGGAUUCCCGGGGAACCCGGAAGUGCCGGUGUCUGUACAAACCGGUCCGGGCGGAACCUCUUCACUCUCCUUUUGGUUCCGCCCCGCAUAGUCACUCCGUGACAACUGUUUGCGUUUUUUUUUCUCCUCAAUGUUCAAUACCCUUUUGCCAUUAAGCACACAGUGACUUUAAUUUAUAAAAUAUAUGCUUAAGUUUUAAUACCUGUACAAAACAAAUGUACAAUCAACUUGUGUAAAUUGUCAU